CUUUACACAUGCAAGUCGAACGGUAACAGGUCUUCGGAUGCUGACGAGUGGCGAACGGGUGAGUAAUACAUCGGAACGUGCCUGGUAGUGGGGGAUAACUACUCGAAAGAGUAGCUAAUACCGCAUGAGAUCUACGGAUGAAAGCAGGGGACCUUCGGGCCUUGUGCUACCAGAGCGGCUGAUGGCAGAUUAGGUAGUUGGUGGGGUAAAGGCUUACCAAGCCUGCGAUCUGUAGCUGGUCUGAGAGGACGACCAGCCACACUGGGACUGAGACACGGCCCAGACUCCUACGGGAGGCAGCAGUGGGGAAUUUUGGACAAUGGGCGAAAGCCUGAUCCAGCAAUGCCGCGUGCAGGAUGAAGGCCCUCGGGUUGUAAACUGCUUUUGUACGGAACGAAAAGCCUGGGGCCAAUACCCCCGGGUCAUGACGGUACCGUAAGAAUAAGCACCGGCUAACUACGUGCCAGCAGCCGCGGU
rnacentral:rRNA from 1 species